ensembl:lncRNA
UCAAUUUUGAAAUGCUAUUUUUAUUAAAUACUCUUUCAUUUUCCAAUAAUAACAAAGCUAUGAAGAACAACCAUCCAAACAAACACUUGAUAGUUUUUAAUGUAUGCUUUUUAUUAAUGGUCAUGCAAAAAUCCAGCAUCCAAUUGAAACUGAUAGUAUAGACAUAUGUGGCCCCUUUUCUUGUAAGGUUACAAUGCAAUAAAUUUACUUUCAAAGGGGCACAUACAAGCUAAGGCUUUUGCUCAUCUUUUAUGCAUUUUAAUGCGAGAUAACAUCGCUGGAUUUGGAUAUCUCAGACAGCCAUUUCAUAACCUUGAGGAUGCAAAUAACAUAGAUUUCCAUUUCUUUAUCAAGUAAACAGUGAAAAAUUACCAGAAAGUAGACAUGCAUAUUUCUUCCAUUUGUAAAACUGCAUAUAUAAUGUUGCUGUUAAAGAUUGUGGUUUUUAAAUUGUCAUUUUUCAACAUCUGAAGCGUUUCAAGAAUCUUUUCGGCCCCUCAGUUUCUGUUAACGCAUAUUAGACAUUUGCCAAAGUGUUUGAACUGUGGAUUUGGUUUUAGUUUUGCACACAUUUGCAUUUUUAAAACAAAAAUGUAGAUGCAGCAAAACAACAGACAACAAUCUACUUUACCUCCUGUGAUUUCUCUUUGUCUUUAGGUAGUUCCUGCAGUCAUCCCAAAGGUAAGUAAAUAUUUGGUCACAUUUCUUAUUGACAACAUACCCUGUCACGUUAAAACACUGUUAAAUUACACUGGAUCUCAAUAUCAUUUUAAUUUCAUCAGCAAAUGAGCACUAAACUGUGAUGUACUUUCUAUUAAUGCUGAUUUGAUUUUACAGCACUGAAAUGUUUCACAAUUAAAACCAUUUGAUUUGAGUUUAUCUGGUUUGAAUUCAACUCUUUAAAACAUUACUUCCUCUAACAAAGUUGCAGGGAUAAUUUCAAAUCAGUAUUGGAAUUAGAAUUAUCAGGUGACCAAAACAUGGAAGCAAAUAAAUGAUAAUGGUGCUCUAUAACUGCUAGAUAUAUAAUUCAGCAACUGUUUACAAAGUCAGUACAUCUAGUGGUCAAAAAAAUCUGUUACUGCAUUUGCAAGUGUCCAGUUUUACUAUGAUUAAAUUGGUCAUUUUAAGAUGUAAAAAAAUCAUGUUGCUGAAUUGGACUGAUGAGAAAUUUAAACAUCAAUACACAAGAUGAAAAUUCAUCUUUCAAGAGAGGCUUCACCUAAAGAAAAGAUAUUUGUAUUGUAUAAGGUGUAUUCACCUUCAGGAAGUUUCAAAGAAGGAAAUUUCAACCAGUUAAACGGACCCAGAUGAUUUUGAAAGUAAAAUAAUUCAGUGAUGGCACUGAUUGUCACAGCUGAGUAAUUAUUUGCAGAUAAAACAUAAUUACUAUCUUUCUUUGCCUGAUUGAACUGGGAUUCAGAGCCCAGAUCCUCAGCUAAUAUCCAAAAAAAUGAAAACUAUCUCAUGUCACACGAGGCUGGAUUUGUUGUAGCUCUAUUUAGUAAGACUCAGGAGGCCCUGGUGAUGGUUUAACAAACAGUGGUUCCCAACCUGGAGUACAAGAAAUAUAUACAUUUAAGGUGUCAUGUGGAGUUCAGUAUUUCUAAAAAACAAUAAUCCAACAUAUUCUAAACGUCAAUAAACAUGUUGAAUGAAUGCAUUUCCUUCAGCAAAACAUUUUCAAAGCCAGAUUUCUUACAAGUUUUAAUUCCAUCCAUAUUUACUGACUGGCAGCCAUCUUCUUCACCGCCUCUGUUGGUGCUUUGCUACAUAUCUAGGCUUGUUUUUACCACCUGUAGAUCGGUGGAACAACCUGAAACCAUCAGCAGGAAUGUAUCGUGUUACACGCAUGUACAGGAACUCCACAGGGUGCCUUUAACGAGAUAUAAUAUAAAUUCUUUACGUAUUUAAGCCUGUAAAUAUGAUCCAAAUCAAAGAGAAAAUUACUUCUAAAUGUAUAUUACUGAAAGAUAGGCCUGUACAUCACCUGUAUGAUGAAAUGUGUCACAAGACAAAGGUUGAGAAUCACUGUUUUACAAAUAACUAAAAGUGAGAGUGGGUUCACUUCAGCUUGAACAGAUUUUUGUAAUAACAUGAAAAACAGAGGUGUAAUUAAAAACAUUAUAACAGAAAGCUGCACCAUUAUUAAUGUUACUGUUUACAUCUCUGUUUUCCUGCUACUACAGAUCAACACGUUGAAGUUUUGGCUUCAUUUUAAUUAAAAACGCUAAUAUCAACUGUCCAAAAACUUUGGCAAACCUGUUUCCCCCCAAAUCAGUCCCCCUGCUUUUUAGAUAACCUGUGAAGUUCAACUGCGUCUUACUUUUCCAUUUCGACAUUCCCAUGACUGUGUGGAAACACACACAAUGAAAGAAAAGCAUCUGGUCAGAACGGUGGCAUCAACGGACAACUGGGCCGGCACCCACAGCACGAACACAACUACUUAGAACCAUAAAAAACAUCACAUAGUUUCAGUACUGCUUUUACAACGUGUCGUCAUGGUGCAAGAAGUGGGGGAGGGACACAGUUUUCAUGUCAUGUCGGAUAUGUCACAGCACAGGCGGUUGAUACAGGAGGACGGGGUCACGUAUGAUUUACAACGUUGGUUUUUUAAGUUUGCUUCAAGGUGUUGGUACACAGACGUGAUAUGUGAUGUUCUGAAGCAUCUUUGUGGUUUCUGCUCGUAGAGAACCAGCAGCAACAGCCUACGUAGUGCAUGAGUUACUAUGGAGCAGCGUAGCACAGAGACGGGACGGACAGCAAGCCUCACCUCUCCACAGGUACAAAGUCACACACUCACAAAGUUUCUACAACAGUGAAAAACAGUGCUGCAAAGUGGAACCACUGACACACAAGAUAUGUUUUGUCCUCUUUUAAAGGGAGAAUCUUUGACCUCGUGUGCUUAUAUGAUGCUGUGACUUGCAAUAGAAUUAGCAAAAAAAGGAGUUUUUGUCUCAAGAUUGUGUAUCCAUCAGUGAGUGAGGGGCGUCUUAAAAAAGGGUUGUGGCAGUCUCUGCUCAUUUCAACCCCCUUAAUAUAUUUUUUAAAGUUCUGGCUAAAACAACUGAUAAAAAUAUCAACAUCAAAACACUAACAACUACAACAUUUACAACAGAAACUGACAAAAGAGACCAAAUCAUUGAUUGCCAUCAGCAAAGGUCCCACAGCCCUCCAGACGGCGUAGCCCUCUUCCCGUCAUGCCUUUUUUUUUGUGUCCAAUCCCUCGGCUGGAUUUCCUUUUUAACAUGCUUUUUAUAGUGCCAGGACUUCACACCGAAGUACAGCAAGCCAAGACGGACAAUAUACAAACUUUUAAGAACACAGUCAGAACAAGAGACAGGUGUUAAGGGUGACAUCGUCAUCAUCACACGGCGUGGCGCUAGUACGACAGUAAUGGGGCUGGUCAGCGAAGGUCACGACACAUGUGGAGAGGCAGGAAUGAUGGAAGUAGAGGGGCAGAGGUAGGGUGGAAGGGAAGGAUUUUGGCAAGCGUAACCUGAAGUUGCAGAAAGGUUCACUCCCUCGGAAGAGCAAACACAACAGCAUCGAGUCAUAAGUGUCUGUGCAAAAACAGUACAGGCCAUUAGAUAGUUCAGAUAAAUCAUGCUUCACGUCAAAAACACACAAAAACAAGAGAAAAGAAAAGUAAGAAGUUGGCGUGAGAGUGUCCGUGCUUUCAGACUAGGUCGUCAAACGUGAGGAGCUCUAGACUUUUAACUGACGACGCCACCUAGUGUUCAAACACUGCAGGGCAGACAGAUGGAGACCUUCUGCAACUUCAGGAUGAGCUGGCCUGGACGUUGUGUCUGAAGCUCAGGAGAGGCUCGACCUCAAAGGCUGGAGCACAGGGGCUUCCAGUGUGUGUUCAUGCAGGCUGUGUGUGAACAUGUUGUUUAUAUUUACACGUCUGGACAUCAAAACAGGAAGAAAAACACCCACUCUCUCAUGCCAAAAUCCCCUCCCUAAACCCUGAAAGCAAAGAAUGUUUCCCCUGUUCUCCUAUAUAAAUAUCUGUUUAUACACAAUUCUGUUAAAUAAAAUCCCCUUUUGAUUAAAAAUUACUUCUCAACACAAAAUACUUUAAAAUAUUAUCCCUCCAUCAGGAGAUAAAACAAAACAUAAUACAAAAAGACAAAAUAAAAAUAAAGGUCCCUUCAGUAACACAUCACAAACGCCUAAACCCCUUUAAAACAUCGUGUCAGAUCAAAUCUAACACUUAAAAUGGUUGUUAAAUUCUGAUAUUAAGUAGAUAUUAGUUGCUCCCGUUCCCGUAAAACCUACCCACAUAAACCUGUAAAGUGUAAAACAAACAACACUUGUAAUAAAGUCAACUUUCUGCUGCUCUGUCGAGACAAAAAGAAAUCACAUUUCUCCAGAUACACUUGCUGCCCCAGUCAUACGCACUAAGUGUGUGAAGUGUUUUUCAGUUGUUAUAUAUAUUUUUUAACACGUUAAUACUUUUCCACACGGCAGACAAAACAAAGACGGGGAAUAAAGGCCAUGGGAGGAAAGGACCAGGACAGCAUCACCCCUGUGUUGCCAGCAGAAGCAUGCACCAUCUCCAAGAAGGGGUUGACAUCAGCCGGACCCCAACAUCAUCUAGCUAGGGUUGGACUGGAUUGGUGUUGGUCGGUGUGGUCAGUCAUUCAGUCAAGCUUUUGAAAUAGGAUUUUUUAUUUUUUUUGGGGGUUGUGUUUGUUUUUUAUUUUAAUUCUUUUUUUUUUUUUUUAAUUGUAAUGUAUUUUUCCAACUUUUGUGUUUUCCAAGCAGCCUCUUCCCAGCCAGGAUCCCGGCACCACUCCGACCACGGAGAGUAAAUGCUCCAAAAAGCUUCAGAGUUCAGGCAAAGCUGGAGAAGGGAAAACACAACGGUUAGUGAGAAAGUUGUCUAUCCCAAUCACAAACAGCAGCGAUGCAGGUAGUUUAUAUGUUAAGGUCUUUAUCUGUCUAAAAUUUCCGCCCCAAGCUCAAUACAAAUUUAAUUCAGAACCGUCCUGCAAAGCUUCAGGCAGAGCUGUUGUAAAUCUUUGCACAAAAACAUAACAAAUGGAGAACUGUCAGUAGGUGUAAUAGAGGAUUUGUGAUGUACAGGCAAUGGUUACAAAUGAAGUAGAUGCUAAAGUGGGUGCAGAAAAUUCAGAGGCAGACAUCUCAAAACCUCAGCAACUAAAAUCUGAAGUCCAGACAUG